rnacentral:rRNA from 1 species
UACGUAGGGUGCAAGCGUUGUCCGGAAUUAUUGGGCGUAAAGAGCUCGUAGGCGGCUUGUCGCGUCGGCUGUGAAAACCUGGGGGCUCAACCCCGGGCCUGCAGCCGAUACGGGCAAGCUAGAAUUCGGUAGGGGAGACUGGAAGUUCCUGGUGUGAGCGGUGAAAUGCGCAGAUAUCGGGAGGAACACCAAUGGCGAAGGCAGCUCGCUGGGACGGUACUGACGCUGAGACGCGAAAGCGUGGGGAGCAACAGGAUAGAA